AGUGAACGCUGGCGGUAGGCCUAACACAUGCAAGUCGAACGGCAGCACAGUAAGAGCUUGCUCUUACGGGUGGCGAGUGGCGGACGGGUGAGGAAUACAUCGGAAUCUACUUUUUCGUGGGGGUUAACGUAGGGAAACUUACGCUAAUACCGCAUACGACCUACGGGUGAAAGCAGGGGAUCUUCGGACCUUGCGCGAUUGAAUGAGCCGAUGUCGGAUUAGCUAGUUGGCGGGGUAGAGGCCCACCAAGGCGGCGAUGGGGAGCUGGCCUGAGAGGAUGACUGGACACAGGGGGACUGAGAGACGGGCCAGACUCGUACGGGAGGCAGAAGUGGGGAGUAUGGCACACGGGGCUGAAGCCGGAGGCAGCAACGCCGCGUGCGGGAUGACGGCCUUCGGGUUGGAAACCGAUUGCGCCUGUGACGAAGCGUGCGUGACGGUAAUGGGUAAAGAAGCACCGGCUAACUACGUG
rnacentral:rRNA from 1 species